rnacentral:piRNA from 1 species
GUUUUAACAUCCCACCUGCUCUAC